rnacentral:rRNA from 1 species
CCUACGGGGGGCAGCAGUGAGGAAUAUUGGUCAAUGGACGAGAGUCUGAACCAGCCAAGUAGAGUGAAGGAUGACUGCCCUAUGGGUUGUAAACUUCUUUUAUAUGGGAAUAAAACGUUCCACGUGUGGGAAUUGGUAUGUAACAUAUGAAUAAGGAUCGGAUAACUACGUGCCAGCAGCCGCGGUGAUACGUAGGAUCCGAGCAUUAUCCGGAGUGACUGGGUGUAAAGAGUUGCGUAGGUGGCAUAAUAAGUAGCUAGUGAAAUCUGGUGGCUCAACCAUUCAGACUAUUAGCUAAACUGUUAAGCUCGAGACCGUUAGGGGUAACUGGAAUUUCUAGGGUAGGAGUGAAAUCCGUAGAUAUUAGAAGGAACACCAAUAGCGUAGGCAGGUUACUGGGACGGUUCUGACACUAAGGCACGAAAGCGUAGGGAGCAAACGGGAUUAGAUACCCCUGUAGUC